rnacentral:rRNA from 1 species
GAUGAACGCUGGCGGCGUGCCUAAUACAUGCAAGUCGAGCGAACGGACGAGAAGCUUGCUUCUCUGAUGUUAGCGGCGGACGGGUGAGUAACACGUGGAUAACCUACCUAUAAGACUGGGAUAACUUCGGGAAACCGGAGCUAAUACCGGAUGAUAUUUUGAACCGCAUGGUUCAAAAGUGAAAGACGGUCUUGCUGUCACUUAUAGAUGGAUCCGCGCUGCAUUAGCUAGUUGGUAAGGUAACGGCUUACCAAGGCAACGAUGCAUAGCCGACCUGAGAGGGUGAUCGGCCACACUGGAACUGAGACACGGUCCAGACUCCUACGGGAGGCAGCAGUAGGGAAUCUUCCGCAAUGGGCGAAAGCCUGACGGAGCAACGCCGCGUGAGUGAUGAAGGUCUUCGGAUCGUAAAACUCUGUUAUUAGGGAAGAACAUAUGUGUAAGUAACUGUGCACAUCUUGACGGUACCUAAUCAGAAAGCCACGACUAACUACGUGCCAGCAGCCGCGGUAAUACGUAGGUGGCAAGCGUUAUCCGGAAUUAUUGGGCGUAAAGCGCGCGUAGGCGGUUUUUUAAGUCUGAUGUGAAAGCCCACGGCUCAACCGUGGAGGGUCAUUGGAAACUGGAAAACUUGAGUGCAGAAGAGGAAAGUGGAAUUCCAUGUGUAGCGGUGAAAUGCGCAGAGAUAUGGAGGAACACCAGUGGCGAAGGCGACUUUCUGGUCUGUAACUGACGCUGAUGUGCGAAAGCGUGGGGAUCAAACAGGAUUAGAUACCCUGGUAGUCCACGCCGUAAACGAUGAGUGCUAAGUGUUAGGGGGUUUCCGCCCCUUAGUGCUGCAGCUAACGCAUUAAGCACUCCGCCUGGGGAGUACGACCGCAAGGUUGAAACUCAAAGGAAUUGACGGGGACCCGCACAAGCGGUGGAGCAUGUGGUUUAAUUCGAAGCAACGCGAAGAACCUUACCAAAUCUUGACAUCCUUUGACAACUCUAGAGAUAGAGCCUUCCCCUUCGGGGGACAAAGUGACAGGUGGUGCAUGGUUGUCGUCAGCUCGUGUCGUGAGAUGUUGGGUUAAGUCCCGCAACGAGCGCAACCCUUAAGCUUAGUUGCCAUCAUUAAGUUGGGCACUCUAAGUUGACUGCCGGUGACAAACCGGAGGAAGGUGGGGAUGACGUCAAAUCAUCAUGCCCCUUAUGAUUUGGGCUACACACGUGCUACAAUGGACAAUACAAAGGGCAGCGAAACCGCGAGGUCAAGCAAAUCCCAUAAAGUUGUUCUCAGUUCGGAUUGUAGUCUGCAACUCGACUACAUGAAGCUGGAAUCGCUAGUAAUCGUAGAUCAGCAUGCUACGGUGAAUACGUUCCCGGGUCU